AACUUAUCCAUCCCAAGUCGAUCGUCAACAUAUACGUGUCGUCAUGCAUGACCGAUGAAAAGGGUAUUUACAGCCUCGUGUGGUCUUCACAAACUUCAGACCUUCAGUUCGUUCACCUGAGGAAGGUAUCAUUCACAGCGGUGGCUGAUGACUAUACAUUGCACUACUAGACAUGUGAAAAAUCCAACUCUCGGGUGUCUUCAUGGACCGAGUAAGUCAGAUUCGAGGACUUGGAUGAGAUGGAGAUUUGAGAACAGAAUUCUGGUAUAUCGUCAAUAAUACUAGAGCGUACCACUGGAGGAUCUGGAAAGAGAGGAACUCUAGAGUUUUUCAGCAGGAAGCUAACUCAUCGACGACCUACAGGUCUGGAGAACAGCAGGCUGCAUCACCUCUCCGUGAGUUUGCUAUGGAUGUUAUCCUCUGUACUGUGGUCUCUUUGCGUUAACAUGUGGGCUUGUUUUAUUUCUCCUGGCACUGCCUGUGCCUUGUAACCUCCUUCUUGUACUCUCUUUUUCUAUCUUAAUAAAGUUCGGCCACCGGCCCUUCGAAUA